UGGAAGUGCAGCUUCAAUAUGCAAAGCAUUCUGGUCAGUUUUGUAUGAUUUUAAUCAAAAGUAUCUGUAUAAAACUUUUCAAUGCUGAAGGAGAACUUGCAUUUUUAUUGGGAGCAAUCUAUGGUGUGAACAGAAUACUGCUUGAAGUGGAGACUUUGGGUAUGUAUUGUUCUCACUGCCUGAUACAUUCAAGUAUUGUUUGGUGAUCAUGAAAUUCAGCGUAUGUUGUGCUUUUGUUAAACUGUGUUUGUGAAAACUGUAGUAUACAGCAGUUCAAGAGCAGGCAAAUAUACUUGCCUAAAAAUAACACCAUUGGCCCACAAACGUGCCCAUUCACAUGGAAUACUCUUAUAAUUCACUUUCAUACUUUUUUUCAUUUUCCUUUACACUGAAGUCUUUUAAAAAGUUCUGUGAGGCUUUGUGGAACGUAAUCUGUCAUUAUGAGAUAUAGCACACUGGAGAAAUAUUAGAGAAAACAUCUUUCUACUGUUCUGAACCCUUUUGUCACAGAAUUUUUAUGCCACUACUUGGCUUCCUAUCUGCUGGUUGUUAUGUUUAUUCUAUUUCUUACAAAACAACCUUAUUAGCUCUCUCUCAGUGGCGUGUUCUUUUAGACACUGAAUUUGGAAAUUCAAAUUAAUUUUCUGUAUACCAGUCUGAAAUAUUUUGUGGUUGUCUCUGCUGCUUCAUGAUUCAGAGAAGAAGCCACUUAAAAUACUCUUAUGUUAAGUCUUCACAAGUACUAGAGUUCCUUUUACCAGAUUCAAAGCUGACCUCAUUCUUCUUUAUGUCACACAUCAACACACAUAUAACCUCUUCAUUAUACUUGGAAAUGUCUCUAUCUCACCUUAUCUGAAUACUGCUUCAGGUUGCGUGCCCUACUUGGGAAGA